AGAGUUUGAUCAUGGCUCAGGAUGAACGCUAGCGGCAGGCUUAAUACAUGCAAGUCGAGGGGCAGCAGGGCGUGUAGCAAUACACGUCGCUGGCGACCGGCAAACGGGUGCGGAACACGUACGCAACUUACCCUGAACUGGGGGAUAGCCCACCGAAAGGUGGAUUAAUACCCCGUAAUAUUAUGGAGUGGCAUCACUUUAUAAUUAUAGCUCCGGCGGUUCGGGAUGGGCGUGCGGCUGAUUAGGUAGUUGGUAGGGGUAACGGCCCACCAAGCCUGCGAUCAGUAACUGGUGUGAGAGCACGACCAGUCACACGGGCACUGAGACACGGGCCCGACUCCUACGGGAGGCAGCAGUAAGGAAUAUUGGUCAAUGGAGGCAACUCUGAACCAGCCAUGCCGCGUGGAGGAUGAAGGCCCUCUGGGUUGUAAACUUCUUUUAUCUGGGAAGAAACCCACCUUUUCUUGGGUGGUUGACGGUACCAGAGGAAUAAGCACCGGCUAACUCCGUGCCAGCAGCCGCGGUAAUACGGAGGGUGCAAGCGUUAUCCGGAUUCACUGGGUUUAAAGGGUGCGUAGGAGGGUAGGUAAGUCAGUGGUGAAAUCUCCGGGCUCAACUCGGAAACUGCCGUUGAUACUAUCUGUCUUGAAUACCGUGGAGGUGAGCGGAAUAUGUCAUGUAGCGGUGAAAUGCUUAGAUAUGACAUAGAACACCAAUUGCGAAGGCAGCUCACUACACGAAUAUUGACUCUGAGGCACGAAAGCGUGGGGAUCAAACAGGAUUAGAUACCCUGGUAGUCCACGCCCUAAACUAUGGAUACUCGACAUACGCGAUACACUGUGUGUGUCUGAGCGAAAGCAUUAAGUAUCCCACCUGGGAAGUACGACCGCAAGGUUGAAACUUAAAUGAAUUGACGG
rnacentral:rRNA from 1 species